ensembl:lncRNA
AAAAGUGCCGGGUUUCUGCCGAAAAACCGGUGUUAAAAGGCUCUGGAGUGAGGAGAUGUGUUUCUGCCUUGGCUAUUAUGUACACUAAAACGUGAAUGUCCUCUUCUCGUGCCUCUGUCUCUCGUUAGAAACCAUUUAUUCAUCCAUACUGAAUCUGUUUAAAAUAAUUCAGAUGUGGAAGAAUAUGAGGAAGAGCUUAGAAAUGAGCUUCAACAUUACUGGAGCAAAACAACUGCCAUUCUAACAUAUUACUUGCACAACAACCGAAAUAUAAUUGUACACAUUGUGAGUUGGAGUUUCUCAGACGCCUUCUCCCUUUCUACCUUCUAAACCUUUAUCAUCACAUGAAGCAGAUUGAGAAAUAAUAAAGCGCCAUGUAGUUCAUGCAUGAUAUUAUUCUCUUUUAUGUAUUACUAAAAAAAAAAAAAUUGUUUCUUCUCUACCAUAAAGUAUAAUACCUCCAGCUGCUUGAUCUAAAAACACUUCAGUCACAAGGAAGUGCUCUUUUGUCUUUACCAACUUGGCAGUGGCUCUUAGCUGUUAUCCUUUCAGACUUUUCCUAUUGAAAAAAAAUAGAGGAUUAUUGCAUGUAUCUUAAAAACUACUGUGGAAAGCUUUAUGUGUAUGCACAUAAGUAUACAUAUAGAGACAAAUUAUCAUACUUUUUAUCCCAGUUUUUCUCAGAAUUAUUCUCCAGUACAAGUAAUCAAGUGGUGAAAGAAAUGAUCGAUACUGAUUUGAAGAGUAGAGAACUGCCUCAGAUAAACGUAGAGCAGGAAACCAUGACAAGACUGAGCAGAACCCAGUGAUCAUGCAGGGUUGAAGACAGGCUCUGGAGAAGGCAGCUAGCAAUUGGCAGGAUAUUUCUUGUGACAGUUUUGUUGUAGAUCACAGGUAUCCCAUGAAAGAAACGCCUCACUUGAUGGACAUUGUUGUCUAAUCACUCCUGAUGAUGAAAAGCUCAGCCAGGAACCAAUGGGACACCAAGGAGUAAAAGUAUGGGGGGUGAAAUACUGAACAGCCUUUCUGCUGCAGCCAGAUGUGAGUUUGAUAGCACCCCAGGACGCCCUGCUCGGCAGCGCUCUGUGGGCCGCGCUCUGUCACCAAGCACAGCAAUGUAAAGGAGAAGGUUGAACUUCACAGCAUUUUUCCAUUUCAGAAGGAGCUCCUUCAUGCAACAAACAACCCCUGGAUUUGCAGCAGUUUGUACAAGGUCAGUGGCACGUACAGCAUGAGCACAUUCCCAUCAUCACCCCUACAUACAUGUGCUCCCGGCAAAAAAAAGCCCUGAGGGUCUCCUUUCCUCAGAGAUGUGCUCACUUCGCCUUCCUUUCACAAUCCUCCAAGCAACAGAACCUUCAAAAUGAAUUAAGCAUUCAAAAUAUAUUACACGUCUGAGUUCGCCAAACAGCCGAUUAUACCAAUGGCAUUUUAAGAUCUUAGUAACUGUGCAGAGGCCUCUGAAAGCGCUGACUUGUCGCAGAAAUUCUAAUGUUUUCCAAAAACCUACAAAACACCCCUUUCGUUCUUCAUAACUGCUGUUCUUCAUAACCAGAGUGAUUGCUGUGAUCAGUUGAUAUGACACAGACUAAGAAUACAGUUUUUAAAAAAUCCUGAAUUAUUGAGCAAACGUAUUUCUUUCAGAAAAGCAUUCAUUUCUCAUUUAAAAAUCUCUGCUACAAGAAAAUUCACCACAGCUCAUGACAAGCUGUUCCAACAGUUAAAAUGUCAGCCCCAGAAUUUGUCUGGUUUCAUUAACAGACACUGGAGCUCACCUUUGCUAGUUUAAACAGCUUCUGACAUCAGAUUUUGGGUCCUUGGUGCUCUCCUUGGAAGACACAUUUUCCAGUCCUUCCAAAAGUUUUGUGUUUUGUCUCUGCAUUAACUUGUUUUUUCAGUAUAUCCCAUGAAUUUCUGGCACCAGGAUGUGUCACAGCAAGGUAGGAGCAGUCCAACACAGAAACAAACAUCUCUGCCUUCACUUAUCUGUAUACCUGAGAUUGCUCUUCCUAUUUUUUAAUUAAAAUUUGCAUUGGAAACUCAUUCCCUGGUGGUCAUCCAACCAGAUCCCAAAUGUUCUCUAAUGUGUCUUUGCUCUACCACUGCCCCUAAUGGCAUGAUCUUAGUGGUCAGUGUGAUUCUCUCUGUUCUCUUUACAGUUCUGUGAGGAAGAAGCCUGGAAUUAAGUGGGUUUUGAAACAGAAAUUAAGAUUUUCUCUUUGUAGAACUCCUUCAAGUUUGGAAGGACUCAGCUGUAGGUUCUUACAGCUAACGAAGGCAGGCUGGAGAAAGAAGCUGGCUGCUGUCACUUUAAGUCCCAGCCAGAGAAGUUCUCUCUCUACUGAAGAUUUAUAUCUAUAACAAAUUUAAUCCGCCUAUACCAACACUUGGGAAAGUUCAUUUUUAAUCUAACCUAAUCUAUAAAGAUGAUGAAAUAUUUGGUUGCGGAUUCUUGGAUCCAGCUCACAUCACUUUUAACACCUACUCUGCUUUUUUUUUUUUUUUUUUUUUUGGUCUGUCUUUAUCCUUUUCUCAAAAGCAAAACAGAAAGAAACAGUUGAGAUGGGAAAGAACAUGAAAUACAGCCAGAACUACAAAAAGUAGAUCUACAAUUACACCUGCAGCUCAGUGCUCUGAGAGGAUGAAUAGCCAGAUAAACACGCACACACGUACAAACACUAUUUUUCUUUGAAGGUCCUAAAUCAAAUGCCAACCAAUGGCUGUCUUGCUUAUUUUUAUGAAAUAAAUGUGUAAUCAGAGCCCAGGGUGGAUGGUUUAUAGAUCGGUCAU